UACAGAGGGUGCAAGCGUUGCUCGGAAUCAUUGGGCGUAAAGGGCACGUAGGUGGUCUCAUUUGUCUAGGGUGAAAUCCUUGAGCUUAACUCAAGAAGUGCCCUAGAAACGGUGAGACUCGAGUACUGGAGAGGGUCGUGGAAUUCCUGGUGUAGCGGUGGAAUGCGCAGAUAUCAGGAGGAACACCGGUGGCGAAGGCGGGUCUCUGGGCAGUAACUGACGCUGAGGAGCGAAAGCGUGGGGAGCGAACAGG
rnacentral:rRNA from 1 species